rnacentral:rRNA from 1 species
UGAGGAAUAUUGGUCAAUGGGCGCGAGCCUGAACCAGCCAAGUCGCGUGAGGGAUGACGGCCCUACCGGGUUGUAAACCGUCUUUUAGUCGGGGGAGUCAAA